UACUUGUUUUUUCAUGAAAUAGUUAACCAGUAGGUUUGAGGGGGUACUAGCCAAAAGAGACCUUUUAUUGAUGUUUACAUUGUUUAUUAAUUCCACAUAAGAUAGAGGCAUUCUGUGGUGGAGCCAUAGCAAAAAGUGUAAAAGGGGCAUGAAAACCCUUUACCUGGCAGCAAGUGCUGCCUCAAUCCCUCAAGCCCCAGACACGGACCAUCAUUAAGAUAUAGGGACACAUCACUGCUGCUGAUAGCUGAGUGCUGUGAGGACUCCUCCUGCAUUUACUGUUUUGUUAGCUCCCAUUUGUUAUUCCUUAUCUCUGCUCUGUCUCCAUACGUUUCCUGGUGAAGGCAAUAUGUUGUUUUGAGGGUUUUUUCCACUGAGAAAUGAGCUCGAAAAAUUUAGUUUUGCCAAAUACACAUGAAAGGAAUUGAAACAUGCUGCUUUUCCUGAUGCUGGCAGCAGUUCAGUGAUCCCAGUGGUGGCCUCAGUGGUGGCACGUGGAUAUUCUCAGCUCAGUCAGAGAGAAAGAGAAAGGUUUUCUAACCAGGCAAGAGCCUGGGAAACAGUUGGGAAAGAAUGUAAAUAAUUCUCUAAUCUAUCUUGUUAUUCACAUUGUUUAUAGAUAUGUUCUGCUACUGUGCGUCAUUCACUGCCCACCAAUGGUGUGACAUGUUUUUACUCUAAGACCAAUGAAAUUAGCCUUCUCGAUGUUCUCUAUAUAUAGAGUGGUACAUUUGAAAUAAAGAGAGAGCUCAUUUUCUUUGCCUUCUGAUCUGGAGUUCUCUGUUCCCGUCCUGCUCGACAGCGACAGUGGCAGGAAUGGCCACAGGAGCUGCAGGAAUGGGAGCACAGAGCAGCAGGAGGCUGUGCCUGUCUCAUGAACCAUUGUAUCUUGCCUACUGGAGGACAUUCUGCAUUACAAGUGAGAGAACACAAAAAUUUAAAGGACUUUACAGGGUUUAUUUUGACUUUGCCUUUUCCUGAUGAAGAACAUUUCGGGUUUGAUUCUUAAUGAUCUGAAAAUUCCUAUCAUUUGGUGUGUGAAACGGUUAAGACUCUUCAUCAGCUGUGCCUUGGCCUUCCCCUGUUUACUCUGUAAUAGAGUUAUAGGCUAAUGAGGAGUAAGAGUCAUUCAGUUAAAACACAGGUGUGAAACUGUGCAAGAAAAGAGGAAUAAAAGGUUCAUAUUUAGCUUGGCAUGGUGCUCUUUAAUCAUCUCUUGCCUUAAGGAUGCUUGGCUCUGCCAGGGAAGCCCAAAGUCCUUCAGGCCAGAGUCCAUCUCUGCCCAGAAAUGUUCAUGUUCCUGUUUGUUUGUUCUUUGGCCCAGAAGCCCGGUAAUCUGGGCUUUUCCCAAAGAUUAUGUACUUGUGGCACAGGCCCCUGUAGUACAUCCAGUGUGUUUGGAAGAUGUCUGUUUUAUGGUUUUAUUAUGGAAAUAAGAAUUCUCAG